rnacentral:rRNA from 1 species
UACGGAGGGGGCUAGCGUUGUUCGGAAUUACUGGGCGUAAAGGGCGCGUAGGCGGGAUGGCAAGUCGGUCGUGAAAUCCUUCGGCUCAACCGAAGAACGUCGAUCGAUACUGCUGUUCUUGAGGGUUGCAGAGGAGACUGGAAUUCCCGGUGUAGCGGUGAAAUGCGUAGAUAUGCGGAGGAACACCGAUGGCGAAGGCAAUCCCCUGGGCCUGCACUGACGCUCAUGCACGAAAGCGUGGGGAGCAAACAGG